AUUGAACGCUGGCGGCAUGCUUUACACAUGCAAGUCGAACGGUAACAGGGUGCUUGCACCGCUGACGAGUGGCGAACGGGUGAGUAAUGCGUCGGAACGCACCGAGUAAUGGGGGAUAACGCAGCGAAAGCUGUGCUAAUAACGCAUACGCUCUGCGGAGGAAAGCGGGGGACCUUCGGGCCUCGCGUUAUUCGAGCGGCCGACGGCUGGUUAGCUAGUAGGUGAGGUAAGAGCUCACCUAGGCGACCAUCAGUAGCGGGUCUGAGAGGAUGGUCCGCCACACUGGGACUGAGACACGGCCCAGACUCCUACGGGAGGCAGCAGUGGGGAAUUUUGGACAAUGGGCGCAAGCCUGAUCCAGCCAUGCCGCGUGUCUGAAGAAGGCCUUCGGGUUGUAAAGGACUUUUGUCAGGGAGGAAAUCCUUAGCGCUAAUACCGUUGAGGGAUGACAGUACCUGAAGAAUAAGCACCGGCUAACUACGUGCCAGCAGCCGCCGUAAAAC
rnacentral:rRNA from 1 species